rnacentral:misc_RNA from 1 species
UGUGGGGGUUGCGGGCUUCUAACGAGGUCGGCUCCUCUUAAAUGCAUUAGUGGAAACCGUUUGUAGGAUUCAUUUCACUUGACGUGAUAAUUAUCUUCGUCUUGUAGUGUUUCUGAGGUAUCUGCUUCUAACAGUCUCUUCAAUGUAGACAAAUGACUUUGUUUGACCUCAAAUCAGGUAGGACUACCCGCUGAACUUAA